rnacentral:lncRNA from 1 species
CGCCGAGUCCGCUCCCCAAAGCCUUCCGCCGCUUCCGGCAGCGCCGCCGCGCCGCCCCGCGCUUCCCCCCGGCGCCGUAAGCACGCGCACCGCGGAAGGGACGGCGGGAGAGGGAAAAGAGCGCUCCUGGCUGCCAUUUGAGCGAGGAUUGUGUCGGGAUCACGCCUGCCGGGCGGCCGCCAUCUUAGGAGCGGCAGGCGGGCAGAGCCACCAUCUUGGGUGUGGCGCGAGGCGGGCCCGCCGCCAGAGGCGGGAAACUGCCGCGAGGUGAGGCCUGGGGGCGGCGCGGGCGUGACUGAGGGGCGCAGCCAGCGGGUUCGUGUACCUUGCCGUUUUAUUCCUAUCUUCGUUUGUCCCUGUGCACAUCAGCUCUCAUGAUUACUGACAUUUACCCUCCAAAACAAGCAGAACUCUGGGGAAGAGGAACUUCUGUCUCAGCGCAACCUUCAAAACUGUAACACCACAGGCUUGUUACAUGCCCAGCUCCCCCUGCUUUCAUUCUGACUUCCAUGGAAUGGAAGAAACAGUGAAUACUUCUUGCCAAGGUGCAAGGCAGCAAGAUGCCUGGGACUCCUCUGUCUCAGUCUUUCUACAUCUGCAAGAUAUGAUCUUCAAGCAGUUAAUUGGCUCUCCUGGGAACAGCUGCACAGAACCAAAGGCUCAGAUGGCUCCCCUAAAUCCAUGCUUUUUUUCCAUGGACUCUGGCAGUGAUGUAUGUUUUUGCAAGAGUAAGCUACAGAAAUUUCAUUCUAGUGCUGAAGAAAAUCUGAUUUACUGUUCACAAUGCAUUUUUCUCACCUGA